AUUGAACGCUGGCGGCAGGCCUAACACAUGCCAGUCGAACUAGUUGCGGACGGGUGAGUAAUGUCUGGGAAUCUGCCUGAUGGAGGGGGAUAACUACUGGAAACGGUAGCUAAUACCGCCUACCAUCGGAUGUGCCCAGAUGGGAUUAGCUAGUAGGUGGGGAAAAGGGUCACCGAGGCGACGAUCCCUAGCUGGUCUGAGAGGAUGACCAGCCACACUGGAACUUAGACAGGGUCCUGACUCCUACGGGAAGCAGCAGUGGGGUAUAGUGCACAAUGGUGGAAAGCAUGAUUCAGCCAUGCAUCGUGUAGUAUGCAGCCAUUCGAGUUGUAAAGUUCUUGGAGCUGGUAGGCGUUACCCGCACAAGUAGCACCGCCUAACGCCAGGCCAGCCGCCGCGGUAAUAC
rnacentral:rRNA from 1 species